ensembl:lncRNA
CUUGAAAGUGUUUCUCCUGCAUUCUCACACUUGACUUGGUGACUUCAUCACUUCCCUGCGGGGCCGGGAAUACAUAAGUGAGUCAUGACGCUCAGCGGGAUUUCUCUCUGCACGCGAGCAGCAACUGAGCCAUUUCUACGCACUCUGCAUUGCUGGAACAACGGCCUGACUGACUCCAGGCUACAUUUCUUCUUGAGGUAACUUGCCUACAUAAUCAUCUGAGCUAUAUUUUAAUUUGAUGCUUUGUUUUCUACAAUUUUGCAUCACUGUUGCAAAAACGUUGUUCUGCACUGAAUGUUAGCUAGCUAGCUAACAUUAGUUUACCAAACGUUGGCUAAGGAAAUGUUUGAAUACAAUUACUGUGGCAGGUCGGUUAAAACACCGAGGGGUUAUGUGCUUCAUUGCAACCUUCAUAGAAAUGAACCACGUUGUUUGUUUAAGUGCGUUGAAGCUGGUUGCAAAAAGACCUUUGUUCGAUAUGGAGCAUUUAAGGCUCAUUUCUACCGGACACAUAUCGUUAACUUAUCAGCUUCUGUGAACGUUACUGUCGGGACAGCUCUCAAAUGCGGUGUGGCGUUAUGUGAAAGUCAGUGUCGAAAUACAAAACAGCUAAUCGCUCAUUUGAAGGAGCAUCUCUUGGAAGGACGCGCUGUGAGUUAUCCAGUGAGUGGAUGUAAAAACGUUUUCAUGGUCAAAUUCCCAUUCACCGCUCACAAGUCGCACAAAAUGUAUACAAAAAUGUAUAAUUGAUGGGAUUAAUUAGAUGUGCAGUUAUCCUGGUUGUUAAAAAAUGAACCACAUGAAACGUGAAGACAAGUCUUGAUUGAGUCUUGAGAGUGAAUGUCAUAGUGUCAGUCCAGCAGUUCCCCUGUGUUUGUUUGCUUUGCCUGUGUUUCCCCUGUCUCUGCAAGGAGCUGUGGUCUCCUCCUGUUUAUUCCCGAAGGACGUGGCUGGAACAGCUGACUGCAAUCAGCCAUCAGGGGACUCUCCUACAUCAACCCGGGUCUUCCUGCCAUUCAGCGCCAGAUCGUUCUGUCGUCAGAGUGACAACUAUAGAGGAUCAUCCCAAUCCGCAGUGAACACCUGAGGAUACAAGUCUUCAAGCAGAAGGUCCAGAACUGCUCCACUUUCUGGAUGUUGAUUUACCAUCAGCUUUAUUUAAUAUUUCCUGAUGUUGACUGAAAUAUGAUAUGCAAAAUAUUUUUUGCAAUGGAUUUCUGGCAAAUACAGUUGCUGGCAAUUUGCUUUGAACUUUGUAAUAAAAUACCGUAACUCGUACAGUUGUACUGUGUUUAUCUCUGAGAAAGACCUUAAUUAGGUACAAAAUGAAUGCUGUUUUUAAAAAACAUACCGUAUUGUCUUAUACAAACAAAACGGUAAUUUACCGUAUAUUUCACAGGUUUUUUUUUACGGUGUAUCUUUUUUUAAUAGUGGUUUUCUCUAAACAAAACUGUUCUCUGGGAAUGUUACGGGUGCAAAAAACAUACUGUAAUGUCUUAUACGGCGUCACUUUAUUUUUUACGGUAAUCCUCUGGCAACCACAACUGCCAGUAAUUUACCGUAUAUUUCCCGGGGUUUUUUUUUCAGUGUGGUCUGGGUGUAUCUGAUGGCUUCUAACUGAAUAUUCAGGAUCACUGUGUUAGCUGUAAUUACAAUGUGGAGCUCAACUAUUCCAAUGAUUGGUCUCUCUUGAUGUCGUUUCAGUUGAUGUCUAAUAGCUGAACUUUCUGUCAAAGGCUGUCUUUGGAAGGAGAAGCCAUCGUUCCUGGACUACGUUCUCAGUACACACAGUAGCUAAUGGAUGCAUCAUCAUUAGUGUUCUGACGAG